UACGUAGGGUGCAAGCGUUAAUCGGAAUUACUGGGCGUAAAGCGUGCGCAGGCGGUUUUGUAAGUCUGUCGUGAAAAUCCCCCGGGCUCAACCUGGGAAUUGCGAUGGAGACUGCAAGGCUAGAAUCUGGCAGAGGGGGGUAGAAUUCCACGUGUAGCAGUGAAAUGCGUAGAGAUGUGGAGGAACACCGAUGGCGAAGGCAGCCCCCUGGGUCAAGAUUGACGCUCAUGCA
rnacentral:rRNA from 1 species